AAAUAGAGAGGAGCUGUCCGGGAAGUAAACUACAAAUCCCAGAGUGCCUCGCGCCGGGGCCCGCCCCAGGAUCGCUCUUAGCAUCUUAAGGCUCUUCUGUUGGUCCAGUGUGAGCUUCUGCUCCGCCUCCGUCCAGCCCCAGAGCGGUUUCUUCAACUGCAGAUCAGGCGGUGUGCUGGCUCCGCGUGGUUCUCCCGUCAGCCGGCCUUGCCCGCCUCUACUCUCAGAACUGCUGGUCCGUGUUCAACAACCGACGCCUCACGCGACGGGCAAAAGAGUGGCAACUCUGAACCCGGAGAGAUGUAGCGGACAUCGGGCAACACCAGAUCCAGCCUUGUCUUUGAGCACGUGUUCUAACCAGAUAGGCCUUUCUAGACUAUACCGCUUGUAACUUGCUUUACAAGUUCCACAAGGAUCGCUACCCAUUAUCUCAUCGGAUUAGUGGUUAUGAUGGCGAUUGCGGUUGAUGUCACUGGAAGAAUGACCACUAUCCGGAAGGUUCCCACUCAUGGCCCAGCAGGGGGAGCUCUCUUUCUAAGGAGCCACUCUGCACUACCCGGGGGUAAGCCAAGGCCAUGUCCUGGUGGACAGGCGGGUCAUCCUGGGAGAUGGAAGUAUCCUUGGGAGGAAGGGAAAAGAAGAAAGCAUUGACUAAGCUCCAAAUUAACGGUGUUAAUUUUUAAUACAAGAGCCUGGCUUUGCCUUAAAGAAUCCAAGGUCCUUCGCCGGAUAACUCUGUACGGCAUCCGAUCCCUUGCCAAGGUUGAAAUGUAAGCUCUCGACUGUUGCUCCAGCACCAUGCUGCCUGCUGCCAUGCUCCCCACCAUGACGCGAUGGACUCUUAUCUCUUUGGAACCUAAGCCCAAAUAAAUCCUUCCUUCUAUAAA